AGCUUUGGCUAGAAUUUCUAGAAAAAUGUUAAGCAACAGUGAUAAAAAUGAGGGGUCCUAUCCUGUUCCUGGUUUUUAUGGGGAAGGUUUUUAGUGGUCUGCCAAUAAGUACAAUGUUAGCCGUGGGUGUGUUUUUGGAUUUGAGGGUUUUUUUGAUAAAUGCCUUUUACCAUGUUGAGGAAGUUCUCUUCUGGUGCUAUAUUCUACAGGUUUUUAUAAUAAAAGGCUGUUGGAUCUUGUCAAGGUGAAUUACUUCUACGUCAUUAACGUCCUAUUAAGAGCAACUAGCAAUGAGCUUUGCAAGUCAAUAAUUCAGUAAGUGUUUGCUGAGUUAAACUGACUUGAAAGCAGCCAAUACCAAAAGUUGAACUUUCAUGUCUAGGACAUUCUUUGAAUAAAUUAUCCUUAGAGAUUUAUAUGGAAAGUUGGCUUUUUUCCCCUCCCACACAAGCCAUAUAAUUCACAUAACAAUAAAAAGCAAAUGAACUCUUACACCUAAAUAAAUUCUAAGAUAUAGAAAAGGUUAACUCUGAUAUCUACUCUCAUUAGUAAAUGUGUUGUCUAGGAACAUUCCAGAAUGUCAAUAGGCACAGUCCAAUGGAGCAAGAACAUUCCAGAACUUCAACAGACACAGUCCAGUGGGGGUGGGGGGCAAAGCCUCUGUCUUUGUACAGAGGAGGAUUUGUAGUCUCAGCAGCCUAGGCCAAAUACAAGGUUCCUCGAUAGCCUGAUUUCAAAUUCCUGACAUGGGCACUGAUUUCAGUGGUUCCAGAUCGAUACGUGACUGGACAUUUGGAGGACAGAACAGAGUCCCCACCAGUGAGAGCAGCCUGCCAGACAGAGAUGUGGAACUUCCUUGGAAGCAUCCUGCCUACCUACUUAAUUUUUAAAGCGAGAAAACCAAGCUGUGCAGUUUUGUUUCCUGGACACCUGCCAGAUGACAGCCCCUUUGUUGAUGAUCCCUCACCAAUCUGCCAGACAGUAACAAGAAAAGCAUGUUGGGGCUGGGGAUUUAGCUCAGAAGAAAGAAAGAAAGAAAGAAAGAAAGAAAGAAAGAAAGAAAGAAAGAAAGAAAGAAAGAAAGAAAGAAAGAAAGAAAGAAAGAAAGAAAGAAAAGAAUCUUGUCCCAAAAGUAUUUUUCCUAAGAAAACUCUGUAAGGGAAAGUGACAAGCCUUUUCUGUUUCCUUUGUCAUUAAAUCAAAGAGCCACACU
rnacentral:lncRNA from 1 species